rfam:Ictidomys tridecemlineatus contig001743, whole genome shotgun sequence.
CGGGUUGUGGCUUAGUGGUGGAGGGCUUGCCUAGCAUGCAUGAGGCACUGGGUUCGAUCCUCAGCACCACGU